CAACACGAUGGCUGAUGAUGUAAAUAUCAUGGCGGCCUGAACGUUACUUCCUCUUUCUUCGCAGCAUGACGAAAAACGAUGGGGCCGAGCUUCAUUUAGUAAUCGCCGAAGACGACACACGCUCAUGUCGGAUUUAAGCUUGGAUUUACUUAUGAUUGGAUUUAACUACGAAAGCUGUACUGCAUAGGCUACAAACAGGAAGGAUUGUCUCAGGAGUGAUUUGUUCGAGGAUUCAAGCCGUUAGACAGCGGCGAAAACAUCAAUAUGAUGCCACCACGAUUGCAGACAUCAUCAGACGGAGACUACGAAGCUCGUCGCCACGGUCGCGCAGCAAGAAGGUGAGCGAAACAACAGGUUUUGUGCCGAAAAAUAGCCCACCUGCGUGAAAUGUCCCUCCUGACGGGAGCGCCCACACGGAAACGACUGUCUUGUACCGUGAAUAUGUAUUAUUUUACUCUGCUUGAACUAAUAAAUGUCAUACCUGUGUGAUUGUCAUUGGGAUAUGGUCGUGAAAACCUGUAGACUAAUACAUUUCUGUUCAAAUAUGGUUAUGUGGCCCAGUCCACGAUUUGUUACUAUAAUACAUUACUAAUAUUUUGUGUAAUGUAAUUAUUUAAAACUGAUCUUACAGUCGUAAAUCCAUUACUGUAACACAGACCUCCUCUAAACAUUUGAUGUUUUCACGCCAAAAAAGCGUUACAAAUAACCGCCCCCGGCAGGGGGAACAUUUCACGCGGGGCAGCUAUUUUUCGGCACACACCGGCCUGUUGUCGAUCAAAUUUCAUUUUACAAUCGUGACAACGGUGACGCUCAGCUGACCAAAUGUCGGUUUAUAUUCGGGCCCGUGCCGAUUUUGGGUACCCGACUCCCCAUCGUGACAUAAACUGGAGUAUGAUUGGAAAUUUUGUGGUCUCAGGACGAGCUCUGACACACUGGACGGGACCGGACGGGAGGAAACAUCGGUUUGGGCAUCAAAUAUGGAUCCGGCGACUGGAUCGACCGAAGCUUUUCCAAAUAACGGCUUUUAUGCAACUCAUCCAAUGAGUUUACAGCGUCUGAAAGCAUCGGGGCUUCCAUAAUUUGCAAGUGAAUCCACCUUUACAAACUACGAUCAUUGACAAUAUGACACACAAUGACGGACAAUAUGGUGGCACAAUACAGCGAUCAUGUGAUUGUGUGACGUUGGUGAUUGGGGUCUAUUGGAAA